CAGCCGUAAACUAUGCUCGCUAGGUGUCAGGCAUGGCGCGACCGUGUCUGGUGCCGCAGGGAAGCCGUGAAGCGAGCCACCUGGGAAGUACGGCCGCAAGACUGAAACUUAAAGGAAUUGGCGGGGGAGCACAACAACGGGUGGAGCCUGCGGUUUAAUUGGACUCAACGCCGGACAACUCACCGGGGACGACAGCAAUAUGUAGGCCAGGCUGAAGACCUUGCCUGAAUCGCUGAGAGGAGGUGCAUGGCGUAGACGUCU
rnacentral:rRNA from 1 species